AGAAAGAAGGAAGUUGAAUUCAUUUAGAAAAGAGAAUUCCACAUGAGCUUAAUUUCCUUUUUUCU
ensembl:miRNA